rnacentral:lncRNA from 1 species
CAUUUUUUAAGUGAAGAAUGCCAUGUGGGAUAAACUUGUUAGUGUUAAUACUAUACCACAGAAAUGACAUGACUCCAUCUCUCAAUACUUCACCUAAUCUAUCCCCAACCCGAUUAUUUAUUUAUUUAUUUUAUGAGUUUUAUUAUCACUUCUUUUUAUUAGCAAAUUGCGAUUCUACUAAAAAGCCAUAUCGUUGUUUAAUUUUAAGAAGAUUAAAAAAUAUUCAUGAUAAUAUUAAUGAAAAACAACCUUUUAAUAUUCUAACACAACGAGUGUAUGAUAUAUUAUUCGUUUGAUAAAAACCAAAAUAAAAGGUUAUUUAUAUGGGCGUAGCCUCGCAUGCUCAUGCGUUUAGUUAGUUGUUUAUCUGCCAAGCUCUAGCUUUUUUAUAUAUUUUAAUUUAGAUUUAAAUGCAGUACAAAAAGCUUGACAUUAAUUUUUUAAUUAUUAUUAAAUUUUGUCAAGUUUUUAAAAUAAUAUUAUAGGUUUUCAUAUAAAUAUCAAUAUUUUGUUUCCAAUUUUUUUGUGCCUAACUUUAAUUUAAAAAAAUAUCAUGAAUAAUCAAUUAACAUAAAAUUUAUGUUUUUUGUUAAAAAAAUUUAGUAUAUUAUUUUUUAUAUAAUUUUAUUACAUUGAUCAUUUUUUUUAAAUCUUCAAUCAUAUAUAAAAUACUAAGGUUUUGUUUUAAUAAAUAGAGAUUUUAAAAUUUGCAUUUAAGUCCAUGCAGUACUUUUGUUUAGAAAACAAUGCUUGUGAUUUAUAAAGCGUCAUGACAUUGGUCAGGUCUUUAUUUUUAUUAUUUUUAUUAUAUUAUUAAAAAAAAAAUUAAUUUAAAAAUACAAUAUAAUUAAAGCUAGUUAGGUUCAUAACAUAAAUCAUAGGUUUGGCAUGUUAGAUUAGGAUGGUCGUGUCUAUUAAAGAUAUCAUUUGAUACUUUAAUUAUUUCUGUAUUUAUUGCAUAUUAAAUAUUUUGUUUAUAAUUUAAAAUUUUCUUGUAAAUGGAAAUUAUAUUAUCAACUCUUAAAUAUUUUUUUAUUUAAUAAAAUUAAUAUUAUAAAAUUGAACGACAUAACUUAAUCACAAUUUAAAACCUCUUUAAUAGAAAACAAAACCUACUUUUAAGAUAGAUGAGGGAUGAACCUGAUGGUUAUGGAUGCCCGCAAGUCAGAUUUUAUAAUAUUCAAGUAUUCAAUAAGUAUUCUUAUUUAUUAUUAUUUAUUAAAUAAUAAAAAAUAAAAUAAUUAAUAUAUAUAUAUAUAUAUAUUAUGUUAAUAUUGAAAUAUGUAUAUAUCAUAUUGUAUUUUAAAAAAAUUCUAAAAAUUAUAUAAAUAUAUCCAUAUAAUAUAUAUAUAUAUAUAUAUAUAUAUAUAUAUAUAUAUAUAUAUAUAUUUAGAGUUAAGUUGAUGCGAAUAUAAAGUCUAGUUUAAUAAUAUUAAUUUUCUAUUUAUUAUCUAUGAAUUAAUAUAAUUAUUCAAAAAAUAUCUAUUUAAUUGUAUUAAAUCAUAUCAAUAUUCAUCUGUUCGGAUUAACUCGUGAUCUCUGUUUUUAAAAUAAAAAAGCAAUGCGGGGUAAAUUGUUGUUGACAUGGCAGCGUUACCUAACCACAUUAAAGUACAUGACCCCAUCAAUUAACAAUAUCUUCCCAUUUUGUUUUCUGCAACAUUAAUAACAGCUUUAGCUUUGUAUCAAAGAAGCUAGGAAAUUAUACGUUCAAUGGAAUGGCAAUUUCAUGGAUAUUUAGUGUCAUAUGAUCCGGUUCAUCUAAUAUUUAUAUUUAUUAGGGUCAAAUUUUAGAUAGAAAUUUUUUAUUUAAUCUGAUAAUAGAUUAAAAAUAUAAAUUAACUUGUGAUUUAAUAAAAAAUCUAGUCAAAACUUAUCAAAACUUGAUAAUUUUUUUUAAUUUAUUUUUAAAUAAUUCUAUUUUUAUUUUAUUUGUUAUAAAAAAAACUGAAUUAACCUGUUAAUUUAAGUUAAUUCAUUUGAUCCAUAAUUUAAAACUUGUCCGCAUCAACCCGAAUUAGUUUAAAAACUAUGAUUUUACCUAUAUGCAAAUCCAUCCAGAACUCUUUUUUGUUUUUUGUUUUUUUUUCCAUCCAGAACUUGUUGUAAGUACUGAUGAAGCUUAGAAUAACGAGGAUGAAGAUUACUAUUUGUAGCUUUUUUUUUUCUUCUCAUUUUUGGGAUGAUGAAGCACCAUCCAAAAGCAAGGUACAAAAACAGAACACAACACAACCAUGCUGCAAGAAGCCAGAACAUAAACUGUUAAAACACUAGGAACAAAAUAUUUUCUUGAGGAAAAAAAAAACAGAGACAGAUACAUUUUUGUACAAAGGCAUGCUUAAAAAGCAUGGAUCCCUCACUGUUAUCUAGGACCAGAAAGCUGUUGUGCAGACAAGUAAGACAUUGAGGUGUGAGAACUACUGGUGCCACUGGUGAGGUUUGCUUGAGGGAACAAACCAAACUCAUUUCGCUCACUAGUACCUUCAAUUCUAGACGCCUCACUGAACCUCCUGCCAUAGAAUCUCAAGAAAUUUAACGAUUCCUGCCUUGGCUCAGCCAAAGGAGUUAUACCUUCCAACAUGCUAACAACGUUAACCAUUGUUGGUCUCAGCAGAGGAUCUUCAUGUAAACAGCACAAGGCCACCUUCACUAGCUUCUCAACCUCCUCGUUCGCCACCCGUCUUUCUAGCCUGGAGUCUGCAAGCUCCGAGUACCUUUUUUUCUCAUGCAUUUCUAGCGCGUGUAGGGGGAAAUACGCAGACCUAGGUUCCCAACCUGAAGAAGAUGAAGACGUGGCAUUUCCUUCGCUGCUAUCGUUUUCUAUGCUUCGACUUUGCGGCUGUGCUGCACUGUUUUUCCUUCCCCUUACAAUUUCUAGCAAUACCAUUCCAUAACUGUAAACAUCAGCUUUAUCUGAGAUCGUAACGCCCGCUAGCCAUUCUGGUGCAAGGUAGCCUCGUGUCCCUCUCAUUGUAGUGAAGAGACUGGAUUGUUCAGGGGUUAGCAGCUUCGAAAGCCCGAAAUCGGAGAUUUUAACCUGAAAAUUGUCAUGCAAAAGAAUGUUCUCUGGCUUCACAUCACAAUGGAUGAUCUUGCUCUCACAAUAACUAUGCAAGUAAGCAAGUCCCCUUGCGGUUCCAAGAGCAAUCUCAAACCUUUCUUGCCACUCCAAAACAGGUCCAUUACCGAAGAGCGUUCUGUCCAGUGAGCCUCUGUUCAUGUACUCAUAUACCAGAAACCUCUGUCUCCCUUGUGCGCAAAACCCUUUCAAUUUAACAAGAUUAACAUGACGAGUGCUUCCUAUAAUCGCAAUUUCGGUGCAGAAUUCCUUCUUUCCUUGCACACCGACAUUGGUGAUCUUCUUGACUGCCACAACGGACUUGUCAGGCAGAGUGCCUUUGUACACGGUUCCAAAGCCUCCACUACCAAUUUGAGUGCUAAAACUUUCUGUUGCAGCCACAAGUUCUUCAUAAUUAAACCUUACUGGCAAACCCGGGAUAGAAAUUAUCUCAAGCUCAGAUGAAGAAGAAUCGCCACGGCCUAAUUUCAACUUAGCAGUUCUAUACAAUCUAUUCCUUCUCCAACAAAUGAACCCUAAAACAACAAUGAUAAUCAAAAGGAUUCCAGAUGAAGGUAAUAGAACCAAACCUGCAAUUGGAAGUUUUGCAGAUUCAUUCACUUUGUUUGCACGCGAAGAUACAACUAUAGUCUUCACGUAGCCCAACCGUUUGCUGUUGGAGCUAGAGGCUUCCAUGAUAGACCCCAAAGGGUUUUCAAGAAGAUAACAAGAACCUGAGGAAUUUCCAUAGAAGAUGCCUAAACAAGAACAAUUUCGGGUGCAUAGAUCUUGGCAAGCUAAUAAAUUGAUAUCCCGUUUAGCAGGAGCCAUAAAACCAUUAGCAAAAUAAUCUAAUUCAGAGCCUAAAUUGACAUAGAAAACAGAAGAAUUCAAUUCUUUUUCAUUACUACAACCUGAAGGCAAAGCAAGCGAAUCAUCUGUCGGCGUGCAGCCACUUUUUGACAAAGGAUCACCAUGGAAAUUCGGUGGACAAGAGCAUCUUCCUGAACUGCAUAACCCCAUUUUGUUACAACUAAGAGGAAUCUGACAUUCAUCAGCAGGGCUCACAAAUUCCUGCACCCAAUUUUGAUCAACAAAUUUUCUAACACUAAACUUCCCAUCAAACCCUAACUUGGCAACUCUAAAAUCUGCAGGACCCAAAGUAAGCUUAAUCACAACAGUUGAUCUAUCACUUCCAAGCAAAAACAAACCUGUAUCAUUCAAGGAUAAAAAUGAGACAGGCACCUUUGAAUCCUGUGAACCUUUUGGCUCCCUUGAUAGCUUCCAAUAACUCAUUCCAUUCCACUGCAAAACAGCAUCACCACCAGUCACUACAAGCCUGUAGUCACCAACUGACAUGUCAUUCUCAGCGUUAUAAGAGUCCACUGAUGUCCCAACAGCCAAACUCUGUCCCAUGACAAUAGUAUCAGUUGGAUGAUCAAAACUCUCCCAUAAAGAAACAUUUUUCCUGUCAAGUAGUACAAGGUUUCCUGAAUCCCGAAGCUCCAUAGCAGAAACCUGAGAGCUUGGGCUUAAUCCUUCCGUUGACCAAACUACAGAUGUACUAGAAUUAUCAGUACUAUUAAUGGCAAGACCAUUUGUAGUCAAGUAUAGCUUAUCUGAAUCCGAAAUGGGGUGGUUCCUGUUAGCUAUCCAAAUGAUAGCAUUGGACUUAACAUGAGUGAUAAAGAAAUAAUAUGGAGAAUUCUCUGCGGAAUUGGAUAUGGAGGCUGUGAAGUUGCCAUUAGAAGAGAUCAAGAAAACACCAGACUGGUCAAUGAAUAGAAAAUGUGAAGCAGUGAAGGGUUGUUUGAUGGUUUGAACAGUGAUGGGGCCUGAGAUGCAGAGAUAAGGAAGCAGUGUGGAAGAAAAGAAGAGGAACAAGGAGGAGGAGCCCAUAAAGACAGAGAAACCAAGAGAAGAUUAUAGUAUGGGAUUUGAGAUUUGAUAAUCAUUUGUUUUUUUGAGGUGUUAGGAAAAAUUUAGAUUUUGAGAGUUCAGUGUUCACAUUUGACAAAGGUUUACUGUUUGAGAGAUGUGUGUUGACCCCAUGAGAGUUGCGGUGGAGGAGGUGGGCUGGCUGGUCAAUGGUGGGUGGCCGGCGGAUGAUAAAUAAAGGCAGCAAACAUGGAGGCAUAGGACAAGGUGAAUGUCAUUGAGUUGACCAAAGGGGAUGUAUUCUCAUGCCUCCACUUGACAAUAAUUAGUUGUUUGUUGGGUAAUUAAUUUCCAAAAUUAUAUGUUAGUCAGCUUAAAAAUUAUUUUUUAUGUUUGGAAAACAUUUCAUUUGCUAAAUAGAAAAUGUAACUAAGAAAUUAACUAUUAUAUCUAUCACACUGAGCUUCAAUUGAUUGUUUUAGAGUUUAAAAAAUAUAUUUUCUCUCUUGAUUUUUAGAAUUCAUAUUUUAGGAUUAAAAUUUAUUACAUUUAUUUGAAUGCAUCACUCCAGCAUAAGUACAUUCUUAAGAUUGCUCGAAGAUAAAAUUUAGUCUCAAUUAAAAUGUAAUCUGAUUUUAAAAUACUAUUAAUGUCAAAUAAAAAAAAAUUAUAUCACAAUAAUAAGGUGAUUGAUUUUAUAGAAAGUUUGAAGUCAUUUUUUGACAAUUGAUUAUACAUUAUAAAUUAUUUUUCAAGUGUUAGAAAAAAAUAUUUUUUUUAUUAGAUGAUUUAAACUAAAUUUUAAAUUCUUUUUAAAUGAUUGUAAAUAUUUAUUUUGGAGUCAUCAAUUUUAAAUUCUUUUUUAGAUGAUUUUAAAGAUGUAUUUUUCAAUUUAUUUAACAUAUUAGAAAGAAUUUAAUAAAUAUUUUUUAAAUACAAGUUAUAAGAUUUAAACUAAAAAAAUGCAUAUCUUCUUAAUUAACCACUAAUCCAUCUUCUUAAUUUUGUCUUACACUUGAUUAUAGUUGCUAAGAUAAAUGUUAUAUUUCUUCUUGACUGCAAUAGAAGAUAUUAAAAAUUAUUUAACAUUGAUGACCCAAAUGCUAAAUUAGCUUGCUCUCAAUUAUCAGCUUUGAUUUAAACCCAAAUGUAUCCAUCCAUGGAUCCAUUCACUGUUGAAAAGAAAAGUCAGAAUGAAGUGCAAACACGGGAAUUUAGCACCACAAAAGUAUGAAGGAAUAAUUUAGAAACCAUUAGACUUGUUGUUAUAUUUCAAAAUAAUAUUAUUAAUAUAUUCUAUAGUUUACGUAACCAUAUUUUAAUUUAAAUUAGUUAGAACUUGAAUUUUAUCGGGUUUUAAAUUAAAUUAGUUGAGAAUUGAAAGAAUGAAACCUGUUAAUUUAUUAAGUGUACUCAAAACUUGAUUGAUGUAAUUAAAAUUAAUUUAUUAUAUUUUUGAAUUUAAUUAGGAAGAAUUCAAAUUAACCAUCUUUGACCUAAGAACAGGGCUUUGAAUCAAGUGAUGACAGACCAAGUUCAAUAACUUUUUGUCAAAAAGCUUAGCAAAUUGAUCUGGCUAGGCUAAGGCUAGGGUAUGGAGCACAUGGAUGGUGCUGAGAGCCGACAAUUCUUUACGCGAAAAAGGAAAGUUUGACUGAUGAUUUUGGUUCCCAUAGUUUUAAGAUUUCUGUGUCCUACUCUCCAACUUGCAGAACACAUUAGAAGAUCACAGAUGCAACAAGGCCUCAACAGCUACCAUAACAUUGACUUUUGUUUUGCUCAUUAAUGAGAGGAUUUCUUAUGCUUGCAUUCUUUAAUAACCAUUAUGAACUGUCCUUCAAUAUGGGCCCAAAGACUUGAUUAGAAAAAUAUGACUUUGUGUUUUUUUUUUUUUUGAAAUUGAUGUCUUAUUGGAUUUUAUUUCUAUUUUUUGUUUUUAGUAUAUUAAGAAGCUGUGGUAUAAUAUUCUUGUAUUGCAAGAGAAUUAUGCAAUGUGAUUGUUAUUUUGAGUAAAUCUUUGCACGGGACAAACUUUAGUAUAUUGUCUUUAAUUUCAUCUUCUCAUCGUUUUCAAUAAUUUGGUUGUCUUUAAUAUAGGCUUUUUAUCCAGGGAUAUUUUUAUAAUUUCAUUUUCUUUGUAUUAUAAAAUGAUAUAAAUACCCUUAAAAAUUGCAAAAUACUAAACUUGCAUAAAGGGGUUUUUUAGACUUUAUAUAUUUUCUAUACAAUGAAAUUAUAACUCUGGAGUUGAUUUCAUGAAAAGUCAUUGCAUUUAGUUUUAUCAUAUAUGAUAUUAUAUAUUUUUUUAUUGAUUUUUUUGUUUGAUUUAAUAUUAAUGAAGUAUAUUAAUUAUGUAUAGAGCGAAUGUAAGUUUAGACUGUUAAAAAAUAAAUAGAUCCAUAAUUUGUAUUUAAUAAAAAUAAUUAUAUUUAUGAACUUGUUUUGGUUAAGUAAAUAUAUAAAAUAAUAAUAAUAAUAAUAGUUUAUAAUUUGAUAAUUAGGUAGUAUUUGUAUAGUCACAAUACACUAUACAUGUUUUGACCACAAUAUUUUGAAAAAAAGAAAGAAAGGACACUCUGAUAUUUAAACACAAUGCCCAGAUGCCAGCAAACACGAAAACAGAAAAGAAAAGAUGGGAGCCUCAAGACACAAGAUUUCUUAAACAUCAUGGGAACCCAGAAUAUGGGAUUUCUUAGGGGUUCUGGUGAUAAGUAUGCAGCUUCAUAACCAUUGUACAUAGGCUCAAAGCCAUUACAGCAACUAAAGAAACCAGAAGAUGUGAACUAGAACUCAAGUUUUUAUUGGGAGAUGAUAUUGAUCGAAGCCAUUAUGACCAUAUAUGACCAUGAAUGUGUGAGCACAACUAAAAUGGAAGACAGCCUUGUAUGUACAUAAGAAACUGUGUCCAAGAAAAACAAGCUAAAAGGCAGUCAAGUUUUCAUGUUUUAUGGUGGUCUUCGACUUGACAAAAAACCAUACAUCAAAACGCGUUUCCCUCCUCCUCCCCAACCGCAAGUGCAAAUUGCUAAAACCAUCGCGCCGCCAAUAAAAUGAAGACAGCUAGAGUAGUACUUAGAACCAAACCCAGCCAACCAUAUCACUAUCAGUUCAAUAAUCACCAAGCAUCCAUUACUAUGCACAGACCGGGGCUAAAGUGGAACCAAGGGAAACAAUCAUGCAAGUGAACCGGAAGAAGAGCAUAGUUGCCGGUGUUCAUGUAUUUUUCUUUGGCUAUGAUCUUUUCAGUAUACUUUCGAUGAUUAUCCAAAAAAAGCAUAGUUGCCAUUGUUCAUGUCAGAUGUUCAGCAACAGAACAAAGAGCCAGACACUUGGCACAUAACAGAUAUUUGAUAUUUUUUUUCUCAGAAUGUAAUGAUUUGAAGGAAUGAAGGGGAUAAUGCAGAAUCAUAUUGCGCAGGAUACAUUGUUGCGGCUGUGCAUGAAGCUGAAAAAAUCAACUCAUCAGUUGUCAGGUUACUGAGCAGGUAUUACUGAAGCCACUUGGACUAUGAGAAGAAGCAUUUGAUAAACAGAGGAAUCAAUAAGAGAGGAAGUCUUAAGAAAGGAAGCAUUAAAUGGUUAUGGUUGAGGCUAAUAAAUUAAAUUAAAUUAAAGGCAAACAGAGAGAUUCAGAGAAAGAGAAAUACAAUCCAUUAUUAUAUUCUCCUACCAAAACUCGACAAAGGGACGAAGGACAUCCUUGGCAUUAGGAUUCUCGCACUCCACCACUGACUCCGACCAUUAUUUUGGUUUUAUUUUCAUUCUUCUAAGAGAAGGGGGAGGAGAUGGUUGCCCUCUCUAUGCAUGAGACCAAGUGAAUCACAAGCCUGAAAAACACCAACGAGAGUCCUAAUUAUCAACUUAGCAGCCUCUCUAUCACCAUAAGCAGAACAGAGGACAUAACUGAAACAAUGUAAGAGUGAUUCAGAGUAUGCUUUCUUUCCUACCCUUAUUCAUUCAUAAAUAAGAGGCUUGUCAUCCUUCAAAAAGAUCACCCAGUAAUUAAAAGCCAUAAACUUUGAAAACAAUCAAACUCUCAAAAUUAAUUAACCUCGAUUUUUUUAGGGUUCACUCAAAAAUACUAUCCAUCAAGAAUAUAUGGAAUAUUCAUACAAAUCAAUCAGAAUUAAGACUAAUAAUUCAAAACUAAAACAUAUAAAUGUACAUGAAUUUAUUUUAAUAUACUGGUCAAGUUUUUAAUUAUUAUUUCAAAUAUUUCAUUACAUACAAUAAAAAAUAACAUCGUUUAAUAUUUUUUAAUACCAUUAUUUGCUUCUUUUUUUUAACCCUUAGCAAAGCACAGGCUCAAAGCUUCAUAGUUUUUGUAGAUGAGCCAAGGACUACAGCUCCAUUUAAUAUUUUUGAUUUUGAAUUUUUUUAAAAUAUUUUUUUAGCUUUAAAUUAAUAUUUUUUAGUAUUUUUAAAUUUUUUUGAUAUGAGGAUAUUAUAAUGAUUUUAUUUAAAUAAUUUUAAUGCAUUUAUAAAAAAAAUAGUUUGAAAAACAACUUUUACAACACUUUGAUAGUGAUUAAUAUUAUAGUAGCAGUUAUUUUUUAAAAUAUUUUUUUAUUUAAAAACAUAUUAAAAUAAUAUUUUUUUAUUUUUUAAUAUUAUCAUAUCAAAACAAUUUAAAAAUAAUAAAAAAUUAAUUUUAAAAAAUUGAUUGGACCGCGUAGGCUCUACAACUCGCAUCUUUAGCUUUAAGAUAACAUCAAGACCAUUAUUCUCUGCCUUCUCUCCCCAUUAGCAAUCACAGUUGCCAAAAGAAAAGGGUGAUUUCACCUACAAGUAGUCAAAGGAUUGGUCUUCUCCGCAAGAUUACGGAACCAAAUCAGUAGUGCAAAAUCAUCAGAUAUUUCUCCAAGGCUACUCUUGAUUUAGAAACCAUUUGCUACUUUCUCUUGGUAACUUUCCUGUUCUUCUUUGGUCCGCUUGUGACUUUUUGAAAGGUCUGCUGAACACAGGAAAAAGAGCUAACUUCUUCCAAAUGACUUCUAUUUUAGCUCUGUAUUAGCCAUGUAUACAUCAUAGAAACGAACUGUUUGAUGGUUAUGUUAGGGAAAAUAUAAUGGUUGUCUCGCAUGAGCAAGAAUGUCUAUAACAUUACACAGAUUAAAUCACAAUGGACUCCUCCAUUGUAGAAUGUUUGCAAACAGAACUGUAAUGCAGGAACCAUGCAUAGAUGAAGUUAGAAUUUUUGGAUUUGUUGACUUAGUGCGUGUUUGGCAUUAUGGUAGCUUACUUAUUACCUGCAAUUGAAUCCCCUGUUAUUAUUGCAGGCAUUUUGAAGGCUGAUCAUGAUUUCGAAAGUCCAGCUACUGACAGGCACUGUCUUCUUUUGGCUUCUACUAAUGGAGUAUUUGCAUGUUCUUCCAUGGCGUGGGCACUGAUGACUAUACAAGUCCCCUAUUUGACAGCUUUUUUUUUUCUUUUUUGAACAAUACAAGUUCCUUGUUAUUAUUGCAAAAUGAGUGCAAAGUCCAUUCGUUACUUGCCUACCAAUUGCUUUAGGCAAAUCUCAUCAAUUUCAGUAGAGCAAAUGCCUUAAUAAUAACUAUCUGUUUGAGGAUGUUUUACAAUGUCGAACAAGGGAGGGGAAACAAGAUCAUUAAUUCAUGUGUUUUUAGAAUACUUGGGGUUAUUGGAAAGUUGUUGCUUUUAAAAGUAUUUUUUAUUUAAAAAUAUAUAAAAAUAAUAUUUUUAAUUUUUAAAAUUUAUUUUUGACAUUAUUACAUUAAAACUAUUUAAAAACACUAAAAACUUUUAAUUUUAAAUAAAAUUAUAUUUCUUCAAAAUUUGAUGAAAAACCGCACCCACAGCCCCACGCAGCGUCAAACAGGGCCUUGACAAAAGAUUUUUUUUUCUACAAUGUUGCAAAAAUCAACUAAUAAUCAUAAUUCUUUUUCAUUGUAGUUGUAAAACUCAAUCUCACAGGUUAGUCUAACGGGUUGACUUUUAAAACUCAAGACUUAGAACCUAACCUGUACUGGGUAAACCGGCAAAGCCCUUACUCAGUAGCUCAUUUGGCCUCAAUCUGGGGAGCCAUUGUCUGACCCGAUAACUUAUUUUUAUUCUAUGCCAAUUUCUAGGCUGGAUAUGUCCUUUAAAUAUCCGAGAGGAAAUCGGAUUUUGUUCUGCCAAAUCUUUCGUUGCUUAAGAAUCUACUAUGAGCCAACAGGUUGGGAUUUGUUUUGCCUUUAUGCAAAUUGUUAUUGGCUUUUGUCUCCCUAAGGUUUUCAUUUAGAAAAAUCUUGACAUAUAGCAUAAUUUGAGAGGAAGGGGAGCAAAAUGUUGAACAAUUUCAAUAUCCAAGAUCCAUCAGAAAAAUCUCAUCCAUGAGAGAAGGUGAUAAUAUGAAUUCCAAAGAAAAUCACUACGUUUUAGAAAUAACUGUUGAAGUCUUUUUUUAUCAGUGAUCUGAAUAAAAGAACCCAAUAUUGGUUUAGAUUAAUUAUUUAUUUACUUUAAUUACAAGGUAAAGCAUAUAAAUUCUAUAUCAUAUGUCUCUCAUCGAUGAUCUCAUGAAUUUUGCUGAUGGAUCUCGUUAGAGUUUGAAAAGCAAAUAAUUAUUCUAGCUUCUAACUUGUUAAGAAAGAGGGAGAGAUACAAUUCUUUUUAUUCAUCAUUCUCAUUAUAUAUGGGGAGAAAAAGGUUACAGAGUAAUUAAAAUCUAAUUCAUGAAUAUGUUGGGGAAAUCCGACCAGUGAUGUACUGAUAUUUGUUCAUUGAAGGCUAAACACACUAACACAAUAUUUAACGUGAUUCGGCAAACCGUCUACAUCCACAGGAGAGUCAAUAUUAUUAGAGAUAGAUAGAGAAAGGGUUACAACACAAAUGCAUGGAGGAAGAGGAUCACUUCACUCUACUCUACUCCCAACUCUCAUUGCUGCACUUGCAGCAGCCAUUGUAGCUCUUCUCUCUUUCUCUCUUCACAUAUUCUCUACCUUCUCAUUCUCAUUUUGCUCUCAAAUAAUACCUCUAUUUAUAAGCAUUUCAUGGCAGACAAUUAUGAGCAUUUUUGUGCUGGAAUGGAAUAGAUAUGGCUUCUCAAUCUCUGAGUUCCAGUUGGGUAGAUAUCUUGGUGUGCCUCUCAUUAGUGGAAAGCUAAGUGAUGUUGAUUGCAUGCUGCUCCUGGAAAAAAAUAAAAAAAAUAAUUACUGUUCAUUUCUUACGGGCUUGAAACCAAGUUCAUUGGGAAAUGCAGAGCUAAUUUCAACCCAAAAAUUUGCUUAUCAUUUUUAGUGAAUAAUGAAAUAGAUGAUGAUUAACACAGAUGAUGAUUGACAGUGAUCAUUGAAAUAAUGAAGGAGGUUACAAUCAAAGAACACCCAGAGUGAUACAGGAUGAACAAUCAAGUUGAACAGUAGGUGCAUCAAAGUCUAGACAACACUUACGGAAAGAAGUCUGACGCAGGAGAUUCUAGAGGAGCUGGGCUAUCACAUACGUAGUUGAUAGCUUUGAACUACCUUGACAUGGCAGACCAGUGCAGGGAUGGAAGGACACAAGAGUUUGGGUCCGAUUUGAGGAUGUUUUUGCACACUAUGAAACAAUAAGUUGUCAGGCUU